GCCUUUGUGGUGUAAUGGUCAGCACACUCGGCGCGUAUUCGAGAGGUUCAGGGUACGAGUCCCAGCGAGGACG
rnacentral:tRNA from 1 species